rnacentral:tRNA from 1 species
GCCGAAGUGGCGGAACUGGCAUACGCGCUACGUUCAGAGCGUAGUUCCCUUUGGGAUUGAGAGUUCAAAUCUCUCCUUCGGCA